rnacentral:rRNA from 1 species
AUUGAACGCUGGCGGCAUGCCUUACACAUGCAAGUCGAACGGCAGCAUGAUCUAGCUUGCUAGAUUGAUGGCGAGUGGCGAACGGGUGAGUAAUACAUCGGAACGUGCCCUGUAGUGGGGGAUAACUAGUCGAAAGAUUAGCUAAUACCGCAUACGACCUGAGGGUGAAAGUGGGGGACCGCAAGGCCUCAUGCUAUAGGAGCGGCCGAUGUCUGAUUAGCUAGUUGGUGGGGUAAAGGCACACCAAGGCGACGAUCAGUAGCUGGUCUGAGAGGACGAUCGGCCACACUGGGACUGAGACACCGGCCAGACGCCUAGGGGAAGCAGCAGUAGGGAAUUUUGGACAAUGGGGGCAACCCUGAUCCAGCAAUGCCGCGUGUGUGAAGAAGGCCUUAGGGUUGUAAAGCACUUUUGUCCGGAAAGAAAUCGCACUUACUAAUAUUAGGUGUGGAUGACGGUACCGGAAGAAUAAGGACCGGCUAACUACGUGCCAGCCGCCGCCGUAA